UAUCAAACUAUUGAAAAAGUGGUCUCCAA
rnacentral:piRNA from 1 species